rnacentral:rRNA from 1 species
UUUGGUUAAGUUAGAAAGGGCGCACGGUGGAUGCCUUGACACUAGGAGUCGAUGAAGGACGGGACUAACGCCGAUAUGCUUCGGGGAGCUGUAAGUAAGCUUUGAUCCGAAGAUUUCCGAAUGGGGAAACCCACCAUACGUAAUGGUAUGGUAUCCUUAUCUGAAUACAUAGGAUAAGGAAGACAGACCCAGGGAAC